rnacentral:tRNA from 1 species
GCGAGGGUGGCGGAAAGGCAGACGCGCCAGAUUUAGGAUCUGGUGGGGCAAUCCCGUGCGGGUUCAACUCCCGCCCCUCGCA